rnacentral:rRNA from 1 species
UGGUGGAGUGAUUUGUCUGGUUAAUUCCGAUAACGAACGAGACCCCGUCCUACUUACUAGACUUGAGAUGAUUUUCAUCUCUUGAAUCUUCUUAGAGGGACAAAUGGCGUAAAUCUAGCUACAUGAAAUGGGGCAAUAACA